GUGCAAUUGCACCGUCUGGGGAUGAGCCUGCGGUCCAUUAGGCAGUUGGCGGGGUAAGAGCCCACCAAACCGACGAUGGAUAGCCGGCCUGAGAGGGUGUACGGCCACACUGGAACUGAGACACGGUCCAGACUCCUACGGGAGGCAGCAGCUAAGAAUCUUCCGCAAUGGGGGAAACCCUGACGGAGCGACGCCGCGUGGAUGAUGAAGGCCGUAAGGUUGUAAAAUCCUUUUGUCGGUGAAGAAUAAGGAGAGGAGUGGAAAGCCUUUCUGAUGACGUUAGCCGACGAAUAAGCCCCGGCUAAUUACGUGCCAGCAGCCGCGGUAAUACGUAUGGGGCAAGCGUUGUUCGGAGUUAUUGGGCGUAAAGGGCGUGUAGGCGGCUCAUGAAGUCUGGUGUGAAAUCGCAAGGCCUAACCUUGCAUAUGCGCUGGAAACUGGUGGGCUUGAGUUCUUGAGGGGAAGCUGGAAUUCCAGGUGUAAGGGUGAAAUCUGUAGAUAUCUGGAAGAACACCGGUGGCGAAGGCGAGCUUCUAUCAGAGGACUGACGCUGAGGCGCGAAAGCGUGGGGAGCAAACAGGAUUAGAUACCCUGGUAGUCCACGCUGUAAACGAUGUGCACUAGGCGUGGGGCACGUACGUGCUCUGUGCCGUAGCUAACGUGUUAAGUGCACCGCCUGGGGAGUAUGCUCGCAAGGGUGAAACUCAAAGGAAUUUACGGGGGCCCGCACAAGCGGUGGAGCAUGUGGUUUAAUUCGAUCGUACACGAGGAACCUUACCAGGGCUUGACAUGUGCGUGAAUGUUCACGAGAGUGGGCAGCCCCGCAAGGGGCGCGCACACAGGUGCUGCAUGGCUGUCGUCAGCUCGUGUCGUGAGAUGUUGGGUUAAGUCCCGCAACGAGCGCAACCCUUACCGUCUGUUGCCAACAGGUUGUGCUGGGCACUCGGACGGAACUGCCGGUGACAAACCGGAGGAAGGUGGGGAUGACGUCAAGUCAUCAUGGCCCUUAUGUCCUGGGCUACACACGUGCUACAAUGGUCGGUACAAAGCGAAGCGAAACGGCGACGUGAAGCAAAUCGCAGAAAGCCGGUCUCAGUGCGGAUUGGAGUCUGAAACCCGACUCCAUGAAGUUGGAAUCGCUAGUAAUCGCGCAUCAGCAUGGCGCGGUGAAUACGUUCCCGGGCCUUGUACACACCGCCCGUC
rnacentral:rRNA from 1 species